rnacentral:rRNA from 1 species
UACGUAGGGUGCGAGCGUUAAUCGGAAUUACUGGGCGUAAAGCGUGCGCAGGCGGUUCGCUAAGACAGAUGUGAAAUCCCCGGGCUUAACCUGGGAACUGCAUUUGUGACUGCAUGGCUGGAGUGUGGCAGAGGGGGAUGGAAUUCCGCGUGUAGCAGUGAAAUGCGUAGAUAUGCGGAGGAACACCGAUGGCGAAGGCAAUCCCCUGGGCCUGCACUGACGCUCAUGCACGAAAGCGUGGGGAGCAAACAGG